ACAGUGGGCAGCAAACUCGCGAGGGUGAGCUAAUCUCCAAAAGCCGUCUCAGUUCGGAUUGUUCUCUGCNACUCGAGAGCAUGAAGGCGGAAUCGCUAGUAAUCGCGGAUCNGCAUGCCGCGGUGAAUACGUUCCCAGGCCUUGUACACACCCCCCGUCACACCAUGGGAGUUGGUUUCACCCCAAGGCAGUGCGCUAACCGCAAGCAAGGCAGCUGACCACGGUGGG
rnacentral:rRNA from 1 species